rfam:Lactobacillus mellis strain Hon2 genomic scaffold Hon2_scaffold1, whole genome shotgun sequence.
AAAUCCUUUAAUAAUAGUCCCGUGAGACUAUGAAGGAGCUUGCUAAUCCUAAAUAAUAUUAGUUAACCCUCAUAGUCUCAACUAUGAGGGUUUUUAAUU